rnacentral:rRNA from 1 species
GAUGAACGCUGGCGGCGUGCCUAAUACAUGCAAGUCGAGCGAACAGACGAGGCGCUUGCUCCUCUGACGUUAGCGGCGGACGGGUGAGUCACACGUGGAUAACCUACCUAUAAGACUGGGAUCACUUCGGGAAACCGGCGCUAAUCCCGGAUAAUAUAUUGAACCGCAUGGUUCAAUAGUGAAAGACGGUUUUGCUGUCACUACUCGAUGGAUCUGAGCCGCAUUAGCUAGUUGGUAAGGUCACGGCUUACCAAGGCGACGAUGCGUAGCCGACCUGAGAGAGGGGUCGGCCACACUGGAACGGAGACACGGUCCAGACUCCUACGGGAGGCAGCAGUAGGGAAUCGUACGCAAUGGGCGAAAGCCUGGCGGAACGACGCCGCGUGAGUGAUGAAGGUCUUCGGAGCGUAAAACUCGGUUAUUAGUGAAGAACAAAUUUGUAAGUAGCUAUGCACGUCGUGACGGUACCGAGUCAGAAAGCCACGGCUAACUACGUG